GCCUCUGUAGCUCAGUGGCAAAGCCCUGGUUUUGUAAGCCAGGGGUCGUGAGUUCAAUCCUCACAGGAGGCA